UGGGGAAUAUUGCACAAUGGAGGGAACUCUGAUGCAGCGACGCCGCGUGAACGAAGAAGGCUUUCGAGUCAUAAAGUUCUUUUAUAUGGGAAGAUAAUGACGGUACCAUAAGAAAAAGCCCCGGCUAACUACGUGCCAGCAGCCGCGGUAAUACGUAGGGGGCUAGCGUUGUCCGGAAUCACUGGGCGUAAAGGGUUCGCAGGCGGAAAUGCAAGUCAGGUGUAAAAGGCAGUAGCUUAACUACUGUAAGCAUUUGAAACUGCAUAUCUUGAGAAGAGUAGAGGUAAGUGGAAUUUUUAGUGUAGCGGUGAAAUGCGUAGAUAUUAAAAAGAAUACCGGUGGCGAAGGCGACUUACUGGGCUCAUUCUGACGCUGAGGAACGAAAGCGUGGGUAGCAAACAGG
rnacentral:rRNA from 2 species